rnacentral:rRNA from 1 species
AGUCUCAACAAUGAUGCAUACAUGUCAACUGUGGGUGUUGGUUCUAACAAUUCGCAUUGGUCUCAAACCAAUGACAUGCACUUUGAUGACCAUGAGUUCGAGGUGGAUGAGGAUGGUGAGGGCAUUUUUGACGCACCGAAAUGAAGAGCGGGCAAUUACACCAGCGCCGAAGACAUCUUACUAUGCAAUACUUGUUUGCAAGUGUCGAGGGAUCCAUCUAUUGAAGGUGAUCAAAGUAGAGAUGCUUAUUGGAACCGGAUGAACGAACACUUUGAUGUUCGCAACGUGAGUGGAAUUGACCGUUUCGAGCGAUCUCUUCGGCGGUGGUUGACAAUCAACAAGGAUUGUCAAAAGUGGGCGGCCGCACAAAAGGCGGUUGACAAGUUGAACCCAAGUGGCACCAAUGAGGACGAUAGAGUAAGUGGCAUUUCAUCCAUGUUCAUCAUACUUGUUGUUGGUGUUUGA